rnacentral:rRNA from 1 species
GAGUUUGAUCUUGGCUCAGAUUGAACGCUGGCGGCAGGCCUAACACAUGCAAGUCGGGCGGUAGAGAGACGCUUGCUUCUCUUGAGAGCGGCGGACGGGUGAGUAAUGCCUAGGAAUCUGCCUGGUAGUGGGGGAUAACGCUCGGAAACGGACGCUAAUACCGCAUACGUCCUACGGGAGAAAGCAGGGGACCUUCGGGCCUUGCGCUAUCAGAUGAGCCUAGGUCGGAUUAGCUAGUUGGUGAGGUAAUGGCUCACCAAGGCGACGAUCCGUAACUGGUCUGAGAGGAUGAUCAGUCACACUGGAACUGAGACACGGUCCAGACUCCUACGGGAGGCAGCAGUGGGGAAUAUUGGACAAUGGGCGAAAGCCUGAUCCAGCCAUGCCGCGUGUGUGAAGAAGGUCUUCGGAUUGUAAAGCACUUUAAGUUGGGAGGAAGGGCAGUAAAUUAAUACUUUGCUGUUUUGACGUUACCGACAGAAUAAGCACCGGCUAACUCUGUGCCAGCCGCCGACCG